rnacentral:rRNA from 1 species
GACGAACGCUGGCGGCGUGCUUAACACAUGCAAGUCGAACGGAAAGGCCCUGCUUUUGUGGGGUGCUCGAGUGGCGAACGGGUGAGUAACACGUGAGUAACCUGCCCUUGACUUUGGGAUAACUUCAGGAAACUGGGGCUAAUACCGGAUAGGAGCUCCUGCUGCAUGGUGGGGGUUGGAAAGUUUCGGCGGUUGGGGAUGGACUCGCGGCUUAUCAGCUUGUUGGUGGGGUAGUGGCUUACCAAGGCUUUGACGGGUAGCCGGCCUGAGAGGGUGACCGGCCACAUUGGGACUGAGGUACGGCCCAGACUCCUACGGGAGGCAGCAGUGGGGAAUAGUGCACAAUGGGCGGAAGCCUGAUGCAGCAACGCCGCAUGCGGGAUGACGGCCUUCGGGUUGUAAACCGCUUUCGCCUGUGACGAAGCGUGAGUGACGGUAAUGGGUAAAGAAACACCGGCUAACUACCUG